rnacentral:rRNA from 1 species
UAGCACCUACGGGACGCAGCAGUGAGGAAUAUUGGUCAAUGGUCGGGAGACUGAACCAGCCACGCCGCGUGAGGGAGGAAGGUACGGAGUAUCGUAAACCUCUUUUGUCAGGGAACAAAGGCGGGGACGUGUCCCCGGAUGAGUGUACCUGAAGAAAAAGCAUCGGCUAACUCCGUGCCAGCAGCCGCGGUAAUACGGAGGAUGCGAGCGUUAUCCGGAUUUAUUGGGCGUAAAGGGAACGCAGGCGGUCUUUUAAGUCUGAUGUGAAAGCCUUCGGCUUAACCGGAGUAGUGCAUUGGAAAAUG